rnacentral:rRNA from 1 species
ACGUAGGAGGCGAGCGUUAUCCGGAUUUACUGGGUGUAAAGCGCGUGCAGGCGGUUUGAUAAGUUGGAUGUGAAAGCUCCUGGCUUAACUGGGAGAGGUCGUUCAAAACUAUCAGACUAGAGAAUGGUAGAGGAAGAUGGAAUUCCCGGUGUAGUGGUGAAAUGCGUAGAUAUCGGGAGGAACACCAGUGGCGAAGGCGGUCUUCUGGCCCAUUUCUGACGCUCAGACGCGAAGGCUAGGGUAGCAAACGGG